CGAAGGGUGCAAGCGUUAUCCGGAUUCAUUGGGUUUAAAGGGUGCGUAGGCGGAGCGUUAAGUCAGUGGUGAAAUCCUGCAGCUCAACUGUAGAUUUGCCAUUGAUACUGGCGCUCUUGAGUGCGCUUGAAGUAAGCGGAAUGUGCCGUGUAGCGGUGAAAUGCUUAGAUAUGGCACAGAACACCAAUUGCGAAGGCAGCUUACUAAGGCGAUACUGACGCUGAGGCACGAAAGCGUGGGGAUCGAACAGGAUUAGAUACCCUGGUAGUCCACGCCGUAAACGAUGAUCACUCGUCAUUGGCGAUACACUGUCAGUGACCUAGCGAAAGCGUUAAGUGAUCCACCUGGGGAGUACGAUCGCAAGAUUG
rnacentral:rRNA from 1 species